rnacentral:rRNA from 1 species
GACGAACGCUGGCGGCGUGCUUAACACAUGCAAGUCGAACGGUGAAGCGCCUUCCUUUUUGGUGGGUGUGGAUGAGUGGCGAACGGGUGAGUAACACGUGAGUAACCUGCCCCCUUCUUCUGGAUAACCGCAUGAAAGUGUGGCUAAUACGGGAUAUUCUGGGUCUGUCGCAUGAUGGGUCUGGGAAAGAUAUUGUUUCGGUGGGGGAUGGGCUCGCAGCCUAUCAGCUUGUUGGUGGGGUGAUGGCCUACCAAGGCGGUGACGGGUAGCCGGCCUGAGAGGGUGGACGGUCACACUGGGACUGAGACACGGCCCAGACUCCUACGGGAGGCAGCAGUGGGGAAUAUUGCACAAUGGGCGCAAGCCUGAUGCAGUGACGCCGCGUGAGGGAUGGAGGCCUUCGGGUUGUGAACCUCUUUCGCCAGUGAAGCAGGCCUGCCUCGUUUGUGGGUGGGUUGACGGUAGCUGGAUAAGAAGCGCCGGCUAACUACGUG